UUUCAGUGUUUAACACUGUCUAUCUCCUAGGCAUAGCUAUUGAUUAGCUUUACUGUGACUAAUCAGAGGAAACAUUAAACAGGUGUGGACCAGGCUGCAGGGAACUGAGGGAAUAUGUUACUAUGGAAACGGGAACUAGAGAACGCAGAGACAGGAGGGGAAAACUAAACUAAACUAAAGACAACUCUAGGGAAAGGAAACCUAAACAUAAAACACAAGGCUAAAUAUGGAAGGAACACUAACUAGACAAAGCAGGGACAAGAGGAACUAUACUAAAGAGCAAGGCUGGGAAAGAACAACUAAUCUUAAAGGUGCAGUGAAAGGCAUUUUGUGGCAAGAUACCCACUUCAAGGAUUGCGUGACUUCAGCGCUGGUGUCUUCUUGCCUUAUGAGGGACACACCAAAGCAGCACCACUAAUAUCUCGUUAUACUAAGUUUCUCAGAGUGUCUUCAUCGAGCUCAUUUGCAGGGCCCUUUAGACAGGGAGAGACACGGGCAGUGCUUGCAGCUGGAGACAGGAAGCAGAGGGGGAAAUA